rnacentral:rRNA from 1 species
GAUGAACGCUGGCGGCGUGCCUAAUACAUGCAAGUCGAGCGAACAGACGAGGAGCUUGCUCCUCUGACGUUAGCGGCGGACGGGUGAGUAACACGUGGAUAACCUACCUAUAAGACUGGGAUAACUUCGGGAAACCGGUGCUAAUACCGGAUAAUAUAUUGAACCGCAUGGUUCAAUAGUGAAAGACGGUUUUGCUGUCACUUAUAGAUGGAUCCGCGCCGCAUUAGCUAGUUGGUAAGGUAACGGCUUACCAAGGCAACGAUGCGUAGCCGACCUGAGAGGGUGAUCGGCCACACUGGAACUGAGACACGGUCCAGACUCCUACGGGAGGCAGCAGUAGGGAAUCUUGCGCAAUGGGCGAAAGCCUGACGGAGCAACGCCGCGUGAGUGAUGAAGGUCUUCGGGUCGUAAAACUCUGUUAUUGGGGAAGAACAAAUGUGUAAGUAACUAUGCACGUCUUGACGGUACCUAAUCAGAAAGCCACGGCUAACUACGUG